GACGAACGCUGGCGGCGUGCUUAACACAUGCAAGUCGAACGGUGAAGCGCCUUCCUUUUUGGUGGGUGUGGAUGAGUGGCGAACGGGUGAGUAACACGUGAGUAACCUGCCCCCUUCUUCUGGAUAACCGCAUGAAAGUGUGGCUAAUACGGGAUAUUCUGGGUCUGUCGCAUGAUGGGUCUGGGAAAGAUAUUGUUUCGGUGGGGGAUGGGCUCGCGGCCUAUCAGCUUGUUGGUGGGGUGAUGGCCUACCAAGGCGGUGACGGGUAGCCGGCCUGAGAGGGUGGACGGUCACACGGGGACUGGGACACGGCCCAGACUCCUACGGGAGGCAGCAGUGGGGAAUAUUGCACAAUGGGCGCAAGCCUGAUGCAGCGACGCCGCGUGAGGGAUGGAGGCCUUCGGGUUGUGAACCUCUUUCGCCAGUGAAGCAGGCCUGCCUCGUUUGUGGGUGGGUUGACGGUAGCUGGAGAAGAAGCGCCGGCUAACUACGUG
rnacentral:rRNA from 1 species